rnacentral:rRNA from 1 species
UAGGGAAUCUUCGGCAAUGGGGGGAACCCUGACCGAGCAACGCCGCGUGAGUGAAGAAGGUUUUCGGAUCGUAAAGCUCUGUUGUUAAGGAAGAACGAGUGUGAGAAUGGAAAGUUCAUACUGUGACGGUACUUAACCAGAAAGGGACGGCUAACUACGUGCCAGCAGCCGCGGUAAUACGUAGGUCCCGAGCGUUGUCCGGAUUUAUUGGGCGUAAAGCGAGCGCAGGCGGUUAGAUAAGUCUGAAGUUAAAGGCAGUGGCUUAACCAUUGUAGGCUUUGGAAACUGUUUAACUUGAGUGCAGAAGGGGAGAGUGGAAUUCCAUGUGUAGCGGUGAAAUGCGUAGAUAUAUGGAGGAACACCGGUGGCGAAAGCGGCUCUCUGGUCUGUAACUGACGCUGAGGCUCGAAAGCGUGGGGAGCGAACAGG